GUUAGAUUAAGAAACUACAGGAUUUCAGCUCCCAUGGUGGGAGGAUGAAUGGAGUCAAGUGCAGAGAGGGCCAGCAUAAACUUGAAGUCCAUGUCUAGAGAUAUUUUCACAUCCAAAAGUACCAGAGGUGUGCUGGACCCUCACCAGUCAUUUCCUUGGACUCAGGAGUAUAUUGUCACUGAGGGAAGAGGAAACUUACCUAAUUUCCACCACUGGAUGGUGGUCUAAGUGACUGAUGGAUUGGAAGUUAUGUUUUUUGUAGGUAGGCUGCAGUCAACAACUCCAGUGCAGAAUGGACCCUGAAGAGGAAUUCAAGCACCAACAGAGCCUAUGCAACCACAUCUUGUAUAUAAUUCAUCUGCAUGGUCACAAAUAGAAAGUGAAGAUCAACCACAAUGACUUCAAAUUGGACUCUAUUCUGCAGAUGCUUAUCUUCAGAUCUCAGCCUGGACAUGAUUUGCAAUAGUGCAGACAAAGACUGUAGCCUGCAGUCAACAACUCCAGUGCAGAAUGGACCCUGAAGAGGAAUUCAAGCACCAACAGAGCCUAUGCAACCACAUCUUGUAUAUAAUUCAUCUGCAUGGUCACAAAUAGAAAGUGAAGAUCAACCACAAUGACUUCAAAUGGGACUCUAUUCUGCAGAUGCUUAUCUUCAGAUCUCAGCCUGGACAUGAUUUGCAAUAGUGCAGACAAAGACUAUAUUUAAACAAUUUUAGAGUUAUGGAGGUUUGCUGUGACGUAUGGAGGUUGAUAAAGCAGAACUGAGUUCCCUGACCUGGGUGAUACUUCUUUCUGAAAGAAAUUUCUAAGAAAAAAAUGGAGAAAAGAACCUGGGAUCUUACCCAUCAUUGAAUAUCAGCCCUCAAAGUGACAUCACUACCGAGGCAUGUAACACAAGGGAGAGAUGAGAAAGAGCCUAUGGUGGUCUCACCCAUCUCAGACAUCCAGGCUUUGCUCACUUCCUUAGGGGUUGCACAAUCAGGAUUUUAAGCACUUUCAGGAUUUUUAAGAACCAUCAGCAACUGGAGG
ensembl:lncRNA